GUGGUGAUCGAUGUUCUAGUGAAAUUGCAAUUAAGUCUUCUUUCUCCGUUACCUUGUUGGGAUAGUCAUACUUUCAGUUUAAAACGAUUGAACAUUUAGAACAUAAAGGAACACAAUGUCUCAAUUCCUCAUGUUUAACUUAAGAACAGAUAGUAAGAUCAUGUUUUUUUUUUAUUUUGAUGCAUUAAAGAAAUUGCCAACGUUAUACUGGUGUAAUAAAAAGUACUCCAUACGUGUAAACUCUUCUUGGAU
rnacentral:lncRNA from 1 species